UACGUAGGGUGCGAGCGUUGCCCGGAUUUAUUGGGCGUAAAGGGCGCGUAGGCGGCUCUGCACGUCCGUUGUGAAAUCGCCCGGCUCAACUGGGCGGGGUCAGCGGAUACGGCGGAGCUUGAGCAAGCUAGGGGGCAAUGGAAUUCCCGGUGUAGUGGUGGAAUGCGUAGAUAUCAAGAGGAACACCAGUGGCGAAGGCGAGUCCCUGGACAACUUCUGACGCUGAGGCACGAAAGCUAGGGGAGCAAACAGG
rnacentral:rRNA from 1 species